rnacentral:lncRNA from 1 species
GUGGACUGGGUGGUCUUACAGCAGGGCGAGGAGCCUGGGCUGUCUGGAGGAGGGGGCAGUGAUGGGUGAAGUCGGGGUUGGGGUGUGUUACAGUGUGGACUACAGCUUUCCCCUGGGUGAGGCAGCAGCCGCGGAGGUCUUAAGCAGAGGCCAUGAUAUCUGACUCAGGGUCUGGAAGAAUCACUCUGGCUCUUAGCUUUUGCUUCACAUUUAAAUUCUUGAAAUGUUCUUAAGCACCAAGGAAAUCAAUCUUCAGACUUUAGUUCUUGCCUUUUAAUGCUGUUAACAUAAUCUAGUAUUUUCUGUAUGUGUUACAAAUAACCAUAGGCUAGGAUUGAGUUGUCUUUAUUCUUGACUCUUGUACAUCGAACCAAGAAGUGUCAGAACUAAAUUAAGUUUGUCCAACAUGAUUAAUUCUUCACAGUUCCAGGCUGAUUGCUAUCUUGUUCCCCUUGCUAAUUCAUUUUCCUAUCUUCCUGUGUAUAGACGGGGUCAGCUUAUCAGGGUUGUCAUCCUACAUCCCCCACUUACUUUUUUUCAUGCAUUGUGAAGCCGUUCUUGUUUCUUGCUGGUCCAUCAGGAUCCUGUCCUCCAGGUGCUCUUUUUCAGCACUUCUGCCUUCAAGUUGCUGAUUCCGCUAUCCUUUUGGUGGGGAGAUGUCGACAGAGCCUGCCGGGCUUUAAUUGGACCUAAGCCACUUUGUAAAACUUGCACUUCAAAGAUGCAUGUAGAGUAUUCCAGAAAAAGACCCCCUCGGAAUAGGAGCCCGGAAGCAGAGUCUUCAAAUGUUGGCACGAAGGGCUCAGUGGCUGGCGUUCCACCAGAGGCGCCGACUGUGUGCGGUGCCCCUAGAGCGCACUGCCUGGCCUGUGGAGUGUGGAGUGCGGAACACAGACCUGCCAUCCAAUCCCGGCUCUUAGCUGUGUGAUGGGGCCUUCACGUCCCCGUCUAGAAAACUGGAAUAAUAACGUCUACCUCAUAGGAUGGCUUUAAGGAUUAAAGGAGAGGAUGAAUGCCACAUGCUUAAUAAUGCUCCAUAACGGCAGCUGUUAUGGUUGCUGAGGGCCCCAUUUAAAGCGUUGACAAAGCCCUGCACGUCCAUUAAUUCCUUCACUAACAGGGAGCAUAGGGAUGGGCUUCAGGCAAGAGUAAUAACAGCAGGCACUUAGGAAGUGGGAAGUCCACUACAGAGGCUUAGCUGCUCCACGGAGGCCCAGAUGUGGUCGGGUCUCCCAGGGAGGGGUCCUGAA